rnacentral:rRNA from 1 species
UACGUAGGGGGCAAGCGUUGUCCGGAAUUAUUGGGCGUAAAGCGCGUGUAGGCGGCUCGGUAAGUCUGCUGUGAAAGUCCAAGGCUCAACCUUGGAAAGCCGGUGGAUACUGUCGAGCUCGAGUCCGGAAGAGGCGAGUGGAAUUCCUGGUGUAGCGGUGAAAUGCGCAGAUAUCGGGAGGAACACCAGUAGCGAAGGCGGCUCGCUGGGCCAUUCCUGACGCUGAGACGCGAAAGCUAGGGGAGCGAACAGGA